ensembl:lncRNA
GAACUGUGAGGGUGUGUCGAGCUAGAGAGCAUGGUAGCUGAUGGCAGAAACUCUUUGAUUAGCGCCCUUGGAGAAGCGGAAUGAGUUUUCACGGUGUUCAUGGUGCAUGGUGCUCGUUGAGAGGAAGAAAUAAAUUGACACCCGUUUGAAACUCUCUGCGUCUUGAUCAAUAUAUCCGAGGGGCCGCUACAGUGAAAACUCAUCGCUGCACCAGCCCUGCCAUCCCUGGUGAGAAGCUGAUGCCAUCACAUCUGAAGUCCAACCACCAACCUAAUACCGGCCAGUUUACUUCGCUUGCAUCCAACUCCUGCACACAGGCAAGACUUAAAAUGGACAGCAUGCUUAAGGUACAGCUAGAGCUGCAAAAAGAGACACUGGGUGCCAAGGAGCAAAAAAGCUGAAAAGGGACAAUCUUUUACACACGCUUGCAGCAUAACUGAAGUGACUCAAAUAAUAAUAUGGUAUUAUAAGGUCAAAAUAUCUUGCAAGCUAAUUCUCAGUUCCUAACGCUUCUAAAACUGGUGACUAUUUCAAGAAACUAGCCCAUGCGCUUGGGUCAUGUCUGUUUAUGAAAAGGUUAAAAGGGUUGUUUUGUUGUUACUGUUUUAAGCUAAAAAUCCUUUUAGAUGUCCAUAAUCUGUUAAUGCGUGGCAUAAAUAUUACUCUGUGGUAAAGGAUAACUACAGCUUAUAAAUGUAAAUUCAGGCGUUGGACAAUCGAAGGCUACACUCGACUUAAAGCAGCAGCACAAACAAACAAGAUGUCACUUAAAGACAACCCAUGCAGGUCCAGCUCACGUGAAAGAAAGCUAACAGAGAAAGGCCAAGAGAUGCAUGACCAAGACACCAGAAAACGUGAGAAAGCAUUUAACAAGACCUAUGACGCUUGGAAGCUGGUAGCAAGGGAGACUAGGACAAAAUUAAAAACCCUCUGUUCAUCAGAAGACCUUAUUGAAUUACAGCAAGACAUUCAAGCAAAGCAUGAUGGCGUGUGCCAGCAGUAUGAACCUUUACUUCGUAACAGUAACACCACACCAGAGAUUGUAAAGAAGAUGGAUGCCUGUGUUACGCUAACAAAAGACAUUCGUGACCUUAUUAGUAACCGUCUAGAGACUAUUAAUCAAGAUUAUAAUGAUCAACUUGAGAAGGAAAGGGUAAGAGAAACAUUAAACAAAGAUGAAUAUGGGUCUGUCUUUGGCCACACUAAAACUGAAACGGUAAGCUCAGCGGAGUCACCGGAGAGAUUGAGCAACCACUCCAGCUCAACCAGUACCCACAGCAGUAGAGUAGAUGCACAAGCAGAGCUUGCGGCUAAGCUGGAACAAUCAAAAGCCAUGAAAGAAAUCCAAGCACAGCAAGCACAUCUUCACAAGUUAGAAGGUGAAUGGAAACUUAAAGAGGCAAAAAUGUUAGUAGAAAUGAAACAAAAAGAGUUGGAAAUGGAACAACAGUUGGAACAAGAGAGAACCAAAUUGCAGCAGUUACAAGCAGCAAAAGACGUUGCCAUAGCAGCAGCUCGUGUGAGAGCAUAUGACAAUUUUGAAGGGUUUGAGAACCAUGAUGAGGAGAUUAAUGACCAAACUAACUCUGCUUGCUACAGAAAGCAAAAUGAACCUCGAUUAAAUCCUGAUGCUGCAUCAUUCCAUCCACACCAAGCUGCUCCUGAGGUGACAAUGACCCAGGAGUCUGUCAGUCUAGCCCAGGUAAUCGCCAGCUCAUUAAGCAUGAACCGCUUGCCGGUCCCUGAACCAACCACGUUCCGUGGUGACCCUUUACAGUUUACAGAUUGGAGGAUGACAUUCAUAGCUCUUAUUGAUAGAAAACCCCUCCCACCAAGUGAGAAGAUGUUUUAUCUAAAAAAUUAUCUUGCUGGAGAGGCGCGCAAAGCGGUAGAAGGUUUCUUUUAUCGAGAUUCAGAAAGUGCAUACAAUGGAGCAUGGAAAGUUUUACAAGACAGAUAUGGGAACCCAUUCAUCAUACAAAAGGCUUUCAGAGAUAAGCUCAUGAGAUGGCCAAAGAUCAACACAAACGAUCCACUAGCACUACAAGAGUUCGCUGACUUCCUCCAAGGCUGCACUGAGGCGAUGCCCCACGUCAAAGGACUAGCUAUCCUUAACGAUUGUGAGGAAAACCACAAGUUGCUCAAAAAAUUACCAGAAUGGAUUGUGCGCAAGUGGAGUCGAAUUGUUGUAGAGGAACUUGACACAUCCGGAAGCUAUCCAGAUCUUGCAUGCUUCACAAACUUCCUGAGCAAAGAGGCACGGAUAGCCUGUAACCCUAUUGCUUCUCCAUUGUUGAUGAACUUCAGGUCCACAAAUGAAAGAUCACCAAAGAGAGCCAAAGCUCUCAACACAAAUACACAAACAAAGAGUUUCGCUCAGGAGAAACAAGAAACAAACGGCAGUAAACCAAAAUCACCUUGCUUCAUCUGUAAAAGUGAAGCUCAUAACAUCACCAAGUGCCCCACCUUCGCAGCAAAGAGUAGUGAAGACAAAAAAGCAUUCAUCUGUGAAAAUCGGCUCUGCUUUGGGUGCUUGAGGAAGGGUCACAUGACCAAAGAUUGUAAGAGACGACACACAUGCAGCAUAUGCAGCCGUCGUCACCCAACCUGCUUGCACGAUGACAGGAAACAAAGACCUGUGGAAGCAACAACGAAUAGCUCCACUUCCACAGAAAACCAUGCAAGCUUGGAAAUGCACAAUGUCGUAUCCCAUGCA